rnacentral:rRNA from 1 species
GAUGAACGCUGGCGGCGUGCUUAACACAUGCAAGUCGAACGAAGCACUUUAUUUGAUUUCCUUCGGGACUGAUUAUUUUGUGACUGAGUGGCGGACGGGUGAGUAACGCGUGGGUAACCUGCCUUGUACAGGGGGAUAACAGUUGGAAACGGCUGCUAAUACCGCAUAAGCGCACAGCACCGCAUGGUGCAGUGUGAAAAACUCCGGUGGUGUGAGAUGGAUCCGCGUCUGAUUAGCUUGUUGGCGGGGUAACGGCCCACCAAGGCGACGAUCAGUAGCCGGCCUGAGAGGGCGACCGGCCACAUUGGGACUGAGACACGGCCCAGACUCCUACGGGAGGCAGCAGUGGGGAAUAUUGCACAAUGGGGGAAACCCUGAUGCAGCGACGCCGCGUGAGCGAUGAAGUAUUUCGGUAUGUAAAGCUCUAUCAGCAGGGAAGAUAAUGACG